rnacentral:rRNA from 1 species
AUUGAACGCUGGCGGCAGGCCUAACACAUGCAAGUCGAGCGGAAACGAGUUAUCUGAACCUUCGGGGGACGAUAACGGCGUCGAGCGGCGGACGGGUGAGUAAUGCCUAGGAAAUUUGCCCUGAUGUGGGGGAUAACCAUUGGAAACGAUGGCUAAUACCGCAUGAUGCCUACGGGCCAAAGAGGGGGACCUUCGGGCCUCUCGCGUCAGGAUAUGCCUAGGUGGGAUUAGCUAGUUGGUGAGGUAAGGGCUCACCAAGGCGACGAUUCCCUAGCUGGUCUGAGAGGAUGAUCAGUCACACUGGAACUGAGACACGGUCCAGACUCCUACGGGAGGCAGCAGUGGGGAAUAUUGCACAAUGGGCGCAAGCCUGAUGCAGCCAUGCCGCGUGUAUGAAGAAGGCCUUCGGGUUGUAAAGUACUUUCAGUCGUGAGGAAGGUGGUGUAGUUAAUAGCUGCAUUAUUUGACGUUAGCGACAGAAGAAGCACCGGCUAACUCCGUGCCAGCAGCCGCGGUAAUACGGAGGGUGCGAGCGUUAAUCGGAAUUACUGGGCGUAAAGCGCAUGCAGGUGGUUUGUUAAGUCAGAUGUGAAAGCCCGGGGCUCAACCUCGGAAUAGCAUUUGAAACUGGCAGACUAGAGUACUGUAGAGGGGGGUAGAAUUUCAGGUGUAGCGGUGAAAUGCGUAGAGAUCUGAAGGAAUACCGGUGGCGAAGGCGGCCCCCUGGACAGAUACUGACACUCAGAUGCGAAAGCGUGGGGAGCAAACAGGAUUAGAUACCCUGGUAGUCCACGCCGUAAACGAUGUCUACUUGGAGGUUGUGGCCUUGAGCCGUGGCUUUCGGAGCUAACGCGUUAAGUAGACCGCCUGGGGAGUACGGUCGCAAGAUUAAAACUCAAAUGAAUUGACGGGGGCCCGCACAAGCGGUGGAGCAUGUGGUUUAAUUCGAUGCAACGCGAAGAACCUUACCUACUCUUGACAUCCAGAGAACUUUCCAGAGAUGGAUUGGUGCCUUCGGGAACUCUGAGACAGGUGCUGCAUGGCUGUCGUCAGCUCGUGUUGUGAAAUGUUGGGUUAAGUCCCGCAACGAGCGCAACCCUUAUCCUUGUUUGCCAGCGAGUAAUGUCGGGAACUCCAGGGAGACUGCCGGUGAUAAACCGGAGGAAGGUGGGGACGACGUCAAGUCAUCAUGGCCCUUACGAGUAGGGCUACACACGUGCUACAAUGGCGCAUACAGAGGGCGGCCAACUUGCGAAAGUGAGCGAAUCCCAAAAAGUGCGUCGUAGUCCGGAUUGGAGUCUGCAACUCGACUCCAUGAAGUCGGAAUCGCUAGUAAUCGUGGAUCAGAAUGCCACGGUGAAUACGUUCCCGGGCCU